CUCCGCAUCUGUUAUCGCCACUUUCCGCGCCAUUCGGCGUGCACGCGCGAGCGGGGACCCGGCACGCAACCGCUAGGAGACUGUCUGGAGUCUGUCUCAAAUUGAUAAAAUUGGAAAUGGAGUUUUACAUCUCUGCGCGCAUUUUAGCAACGAAAGCCGCUCGGUGGGGAUCUCUGCUGUCCUCCUCAGAUGCCGUCGACCGCGACUCGUCACUCGAUAUAUUUAUUUAUAGGCUACAUUUAAUUUUAUAUGAAAAACAUUAAAGUUUUUUCCCCUCCUGCAGUCUACCAGCGGGCACCUCUUUAUGCACAGGGAAUCAUCUUUCAAGCCUUGGCGUUCAAGAUAAGUUCACAAAGUCAAGGAGAGGUAGACUCUGUGGUUUCUCACUUUCGUUUCUUCAGUCCUCAUGUCAGCCCUCUCUAACGGUUUUUGAAGAUGAAAGAUCAACAUUCAAGAACCGAACAACAAUGUUGAGGAGCAGAAAAAAGGAGCGGUUUUAUUUGUGUUCCAACUGGAUUCUUGUUUGGAAUUCUUCAUUCCCCAUUCGCAAACUGUCUUCCACUUCCUAACAGCUCUAUUAAGACUGCCUAUAUCCAGACUGCACUGUGCAGAAUUUAAAGAGCAGAGAGCUGGUGGUGGACUCGGAGGAAGAUGUCAUGCUAAGGAUGGAUUUUUGGUGAUGAUGAUGUUGGUGCUGUUGAUGCAGCAUCGAGCUCUUACUUUGUGCCUCUGUCAGCUAUGAUCCGUAACCACACGGUGAGUGACAGGCCAGUCUCCGGGGAAAGCAGAGGUCUGAGGUGAGUCAGAUGUAUCCUUGACCCUGUCUGAAUGUGUGUCAGCAGGCUACGGAAACUCAGGAAGAAAGGCCAGAACUGGCAUGACUGUACAUUGUACAUCUUUAUUUUACUUUAUGUUAGAAGAAAGUUGCAAUCCUACUCAGAUACCCUGACUUCAUGAGAUGAUAAUGUAGCUCAUAUCCCUAAAAGUUAUAUAUUUGAUCCAUUUUUGUCAAUUUCUGUCCCACGUGAGAUAUAAAUACUUUGCUUUGUGAUGUUUUUAGAUACUAGUGUGACAUAUGAGCUGAUAUUUGGUGGUUUCUCUGCAUCAAUUCCAGGGUGUUGGAAAAUAUACAUUUUUAGGUAAAACGUUGAUUUGAUGGAAAAACAUUUUCUAGGUCCACAUAAUAAAAUCAUUCUGUUUUCAUAUUUAUGCUGAAUAUUAAGAAUAUGGGCUAAUAUCUAAAGUGGUUCUGGUUUAAGUGAGGAGAAUAUUCAAGCAUUGUCUGUUGGAAUCGUAAAACCUUAGGUUCAAUAAAAAGUUUUAACAUAUUCAUUUAAAGGUGCAAUAUGUAAGAAUGAAGUAAGCAUGACAUCAUGUGGUUAAAUCUUGGUUCUGCAGUCCAUUUUUCUAAAAUAAAAGUAACUGUCUCACUGCUGUUUCAUGAGUUUCCUGGGUUUUGCCAGUCAUAGCUCAGCGCCAGAAGAUUGUGGAUGACAAGUAAAGGCAAGUAAUACACAAAGCUCUUUUCAGAGGCGGCGAAGAAGACUGACCGUCUCGAAGACAGUGCUGGCAGCAGCCCUAUCUGGUGUAAUGCCUAGUCACUGGCCGUUAGACAUGGCGCUCCAAGACUAGCGGUGCAAGCAUGGAAAUGCAGAUAAGGCAUUGUUGAGGAAACAUGCCUGGGAAUUGUUCAAGGCUUUCACUUGCAGAAUGUUUGGAUGCUUAUGAUGGAAUUGAUUGUUGUGCACUGCAUAUUACCGAUGCUGUUGAUAAAAUAUGUGAAUACUGGAUGUGUUUUGAUGUGUUUCUUGAUGUUUGCGGCUAAAAACAAAGACUUUCUGAUCUGUUGCACCUUGUUUGUGUUUCAAGGAGCACAGAAAGCAUUUUUGUAUAAUCUUCAAGGUUUAUUUAUUCUUCUUUUGCAGUUUUCAAGAGGCAGUUAAUUACACAAUUAAUACAUGAUACAAAUUAUGUACAUUAUACCAAAGAAUACUUCCAACUUAAAAUAAAAAUAGCAUUGUUUUCUACAA